CUUAGUGGCUUUGGGCACUUUCACAUUUUAAGGAACUUGGAGCGACUUCCCAGAGGAAGGAAACUUCUGACCUUAAGAACUGCCGAGAUCUUUCUGUGUUGGGGGGACGCUAAAGCUGCCCGUUUAAGGGCCCCGUCGCUCGUCUUUCUCUUUGAAUAUUUCAUGAGCUCAUUAGGACACCGGCGCCGCGCCGCCGUUUGCUUUAUACACACUAUAACCUCAGAGUCCGCAGAGCGCCGGGUAGUCUGGGGGACAGUUCUGAGAAUGCAGAGAGCGGAUUAAAGCAGUCGAGGUGUAGGACCAAGACCCUCACAGUAAAGAAUCAAUACCGCUGUGCACGCUGGCCAAAUGCUCUGCAAUCAGGUGAUACAACGGACUACAAGACCGUCCCCUUUUCAAAAUAAGCGACAAAUAAAUCAACGCGUCACUGGGAGAUAAUGCAGGAUAAUACCAGAGAUCCCCAUUGAUUGGCCAGAUGGAGCCGACAUCGACCCGAGAACAAGGAGACGGUGCUGAGAGGCGAUGGAACCAGGCACCGAGAAGAGAGGCCUCUCACACUCGGCUCCUCAGAAGGAGGUUCAGGUGAAGCGAAGGUCUCCGAGGUGGAGCUGCACCAACAGUUCACCAACAGUUUGCUGCCAAGACAGAGUCUCUCUCUUACUUUGCGCCCUCCUCCCUCCUACUUUUGAUCCGCUUCUCUCGGUCUGUCUCCUCCUGCCUCUCCUGCUCUGCCUCCCACACUUUCCCGCUGAGGGAUUCGCCCUCAGCGACCUGCGCUGUUGCUUAAACUAUGUGCAGAAGAUUUAGAACAUAUUAAAAAAGUCAUAUUCAUGCUAUUGACAUCUUGGCUGCGGAGAAAUGUUUUACCCAAUUCUAAUAGAUGCAAAUGCAUCUUGCGAGCACGUGAAGGUCAGCGAGGAGCAGAUUGUUCUCCGGCAGCUCGGAGACAAACUGAAUAUCUCACGAGAGGAAGAACGAGGUUGAAUGUGUGUUAGUUAGGAACAUUGUUAUUGUGUUUCUAAAUAGUUCUUUUCAGCUUUCAAUGUGAAUGUUCGAUGUGUGAAAAUCUCAUAUCUGUGCAAGAAAGAGAGAAAAGGUUCCGAGCGCUCAGAUGUAAACGAAGGUUUGGUUCGGUUUGAACACAAUUUAUUCCUUCUGAUAUCACAAUUAAAUCAAUUCAGUCAAUAUUCUUUCAGAAUGGUUUUUACAGCUUUCCUUUCAUUUGAAUAUUUGAAGUCAUGUGCGAUGCUGAGGUGUGCUUUAAAGUCUCACUUCGCGGCAGCUAUUUACAGCAUUGUGACAUCACUGGUGGGCGUGGCUAAAGGUGCCAUGGCAACUCAAAAAAAAGUUUCCAUUCAUCCCAAAAGAUGUUUUUUUUUUCCAUUUUGGGAUAUAUUGAAUCUUAUUUCAUUCAAUUUAUUCAUCUAUAUUGUAC
ensembl:lncRNA